ensembl:lncRNA
AUGGAAACCACAGAUGACAGGACUUUGAGCCAACUGGUCCAAGACCGAGCAUCACGGCCGGAGAUCAGGGACGUUCUAUCCAGCCUCCUGCAGUACAAAACACAGGAGCUGCCAUAUCUGAAACACACCAAUACCCUAAAGUACGCUCUGAAGGAGAUUCCUAGACCCAGUAAACCUGGGAGAACACAGGAGAGCAGUAGCGUAAGACGGCCCACCAGCUUCCAGCUCCUCCAGUCCAAGUUCCUGAGGACUACUCCCAAGUCAUCUCUCACCCACAGACGGGAGGUGGGACCACUGCCCUUGCGCAGGAGUCAUGGAGGUCUGACCAGGGAAACCUCAAGAGGUGAGAUGGACAAGGGAGGAGGCAGGGCCGGUGGAGGAAGAGUGCAAGACAUGAUAGCUCGGUUUGCUGCAGCACAAGAGAGAGAGAGGGCGAAAGGUGGGGAAAACCAGUCUCCCCGAAAUGCGGUGCGGCCUGCCGACAAGGGGACCAUUUUAUCCAUCAUGAUGGAGAAAUUUGAAGCUUUAGCAACAGUGCACAAAGGAAAAACAGGACUUGUGAAAGGACCAAUGAAAUGUGCCAAAGUGAGCCAGGCAGUGCAGCACUGCAAUGCAGCUCAAGGGUCAUCAUCACUCACUAAAAAGGUAAAUCACACAGAUGCAAGAAAGAACAUAAAUGGAAAAGUAUUUCUCCAAAGGAAGGCUGACAUUAGCUCAGAAAACACAAAUGCCCACAAGAAGACCUCCACUGAAGCCAUUAUGAGUUCAGUAGAGGAUGUGAGAGGCAUAGACAGAAACUUGGUACAGAAGAGGAAAUGGGCAAAAAUGGAGAGCAGCUGCUCUUCUGUUGCAACAGCCCAGGAAAGAAAUAAAUUGUGCACGGCACUGGCAGCAAUGGAAGAUCCUAUAAUACAUCACAUGGUCUCAAUUGUACCAUGUCCUGUAGUCUGGAUGCUGGCUCACACUGUUCUAACACCUUCUGCUGACCUUUACAUUCAACCAAAGCCUGCAAAUGCACUCUCACCUCGUUCUGAAACCAAACCCACAUUGUACGUGGAUAAACUAAAAGCAGAACCUGAAGAAUUAGAACAUUUAGACAAAUCAAAAUUACAGGAUGUCAAAAUUAGUGCUGAAGUUCAUGUUCCAAUGAAUGAGAAGAAUCAGGAUGGGGCACAAUCACUCCAUCACAAUCCAGACUCUAAACAAACACACCUUCAUUCCAAUGCUGAUGCAACAUCCCAGCAUGUAUCACCAAUGAACAUCAAGGGUGCAACCUCACACACCUGUGAUCAUUUCGAUGCAGGGCCAAUCCACCAGGGACACCAGUCAGAGAGUAAACAUAAAUGCAUUAACCCUCAAGCUCAGGGAUCAGGGAAGCCUGGACAAAAAGUAACAAUCAAACCUGAAGGUUCAGACAAAUCACCCAUUAUGUUGCCUACUGGAAUAGUGAACUCCAUCAAGAUGCCACACUGCUGUUCUCUUUUUGAAGAAUCUGCUGAGAAACAAAACUCUGGUCAGACAGGUAUACACGUGAGUUUGCUUCAGGGACAAGAUGGCAACAGUCAAGGUUCAACCAAUGAGAACUUAGAGAACAUCGACAGAAGCACUCUCAUAAAGUCAGUGGAGGAUGAGCUUCCAGCUUUAGACAAACCAUCAGUACAGGGACCCAGUGGUCAGUGGCCCAAUGGCAUAAACUACCAAGACAAGCCAAAGUACAGAACCUUCAACUACGAAGAACCUUCAGUAAACAAGACCUACAAACCAAAAACCAUUCGAUUCACAGACACAUUCAACUUUUAG